AACGCUGGCGGCAAUGCUUAACACAUGCAAGUUGAACGAGCUUAAUUUAUUAAAGCUAAGUAGCAGGACGGGUGAGUAGCGCGUAAGAACCUACCUUUCAGGGAGAGGACAUAACUACUUGGAAACGAUAGCUAAUACCUCAUAAACUGUGGAGUAAACAGGUGAAAGCCGCCUAAAGAUGGGCUUGCGUCUGAUUAGCUUGUUGGUAAUUUAAAAGGUUACCAAGGCAACGAUGCAGUAGUUGGUCUAAGAGGAUGAUCAAACCACACUGGGACUAGAGACACGGCCCAGGACCUCUACGGAAGGG
rnacentral:rRNA from 1 species